GGCGCUGGUGGCGGCACGCCAGCACUGCUGGGCGGGGUUCGAGCCCCCGCGGCGCC
rnacentral:sRNA from 1 species